CUGGCCAAAUCAGGUUUAAAAAGUUUACUUUUCCUUCCCUUAGCAGUGGAACAUUUCCUCCAGCUGAAAUCCCGUAUAGAAGUCCAAUAUGUGAAACCAGUCAGAAGCAGGUGACAGAAACCAGGGUCACAGCCUCCAGGUGACCCUUCAGCUCCCACAGCAGACAGCCCUUCAAGAGAUUCUCAAGGCACUGGCUGAAGGGUCCACACAGAGAUCCUGGAGGCCCCCUCUGACUCUAGCACACCUUGAGUUUCUGCCUUCCAGACUCAUAGUCAAUCCUGUGGGUUAUUUUUCAUCUUGAAAUUGGGAUUCCACAUGAUUUUGUAGUCAGUUUUUUACAAAAUAACCCAUGGACAGGUAAAAAGUUUUAGCAGCCUCUUCUCCAUCGGCAAGUUCAUCUUGGUCAUCACCAACUCACCCCAAGCACGAUGAGAAGCCAUUGGCCUUAGUGUUUUUCCAGCUCAGACCAAGACCCGGCUUCUUGAAGCUCGGCUGAAACCCUGGUUCUGCCCCAUCCACGAUCAAUAUCCCAUUACUGCGUGUGGUCAGAAAGCCCCCAUGAGUCACUCAGAAACUACGCUCGAUCGUAGACAAAUUAAACUGUUACGACUUGUUCUAAUUACUUAAUAAAGCUUGUAGUACGCCUAAGAACCCAUGUGGAUGAAAGCAGCAUUACUCAUGUAGAACAUUAUUAUUACAGCAACAAUCGCCAUCGUGCCAAAAUUCCGGAGUCCCACCCUCAAGAAAAGAGUCCUGCCUCAUAGGAGCUGCUGGAGGCUGCUGUGCAAACAGACACCCCACCGGAUGAUGCAACAUCUGCCCGAACAGGGCGUUUGCUGUCAAGCGGGGCGAGAUUCAUAGUUCUGGCCGCAAUAGCCUGUCCCACUGACAGGACCCCGAGGCCGUUCCAGCGGGAGGAGAGCCAAGGAGGCUGCGCUCGUGGACUUGACGUGUCUCGCAGGCCUGCUCCUAGAAUUUCAUCCCUUGCCGUCCCCGCUUCUCUCCCCCUCCAGCCCAGCGUGAACUUCACUUGGGCCAAAAAAUCAGCUGCAUGAGAACAGGAUGGAGCAGGCAGCUGGAGACACGAGUCAAUAAAGCCCGCGAAGGAAACCUCAGGAUUUUCCUAACUGUGAACUUAGCGAGAAGCAACAGCAGGAGCUCCAGAAACUUCCUUAGGUGACAUGGACUGGCGGGAAGAGGAGGAAACGAAAGAGCCAACAUUCAAAUGAAAUGAAAUUGCUUAGAGGUCUUCAAAUAAAUAGCUGGCUGGUGAAAAUAAAAUAAGUUUUUAAAAAAUUGAGAGCCAUUCUCCAGAUGCCUCAUUGCUGGCUGUAGUAUGGCCGGAUUGGUGGGUUGGUAUAAGGAUGGAGGGGAAAGCCUGACCUGAGAUCUCAGAGCAUCUGAUUCUGGUUUGCAAUUAACUCAGAAAUCCGCAGGAAGAGAUGCUAUGCCA
rnacentral:lncRNA from 1 species